UAGAGCUAGGCUGGUAUACUAUCCGAAUCCGGCGGAUUUUAAAAAUUUAUACCGUUGAAUAAAGAUCUAAGAGUUAAAAAUUAUUAAAUAUUUUAUAUAUUAUAUAAAUAAAUAAAAAUAAAUUAUGUAUAUAUAUAAUUUAUUCGGGUUCCGGUCGGAUUCGAGUUCGGAUUCGGGUCGGGUAAAUACAAAAUUCAUAUCUAUAUUCAUAUCUGUCUGGUUUUUAUUUUCUAUACUCAUAAUCGAAUCUAUACCCGUUUAGCUCGGAUAAAUCCGCCCCGUUCGGAUUCAGAUUCGAAUAAUAUUUCGAAUAUCUAUACCAAUUAACAUUCCUAAUCUU
rnacentral:lncRNA from 1 species